rnacentral:rRNA from 1 species
UACGUAGGGUGCAGGCGUUAAUCGGAAUUACUGGGCGUAAAGCGUGCGCAGGCGGUUUCUUAAGUCAGAUGUGAAAUCCCCGGGCUUAACCUGGGAACUGCAUUUGUGACUGCACGGCUGGAGUGCGGCAGAGGGGGAUGGAAUUCCGCGUGUAGCAGUGAAAUGCGUAGAUAUGCGGAGGAACACCGUAGCGAAGGCGGCACUCUGGGCCGGUACUGACGCUGAGGAGCGAAAGCGUGGGGAGCAAACAGG